rnacentral:misc_RNA from 1 species
UACAGAGAGUCCAAGCGUUAUUCGGAUUCACUGGGCGUAAAGGGUGCGCAGGCGGCCGCAUGUGUCAGGUGUGAAAGCUCCGGGCUUAACCCGGAAAUUGCAUUUGAAACUAUGCGGCUUGAGUUUUGGAGAGGGAAGCGGAAUUCUCGGUGUAGCGGUGAAAUGCGUAGUUAUCGAGAGGAACACCAAAGGCGAAGGCAGCUUCCUGGACAACAACUGACGCUCAUGCACGAAAGCGUGGGUAGCGAAAGGG